UACGGAGGGAGCUAGCGUUAUUCGGAAUUACUGGGCGUAAAGCGCACGUAGGCGGCUUUGUAAGUAAGAGGUGAAAGCCCAGAGCUCAACUCUGGAAUUGCCUUUUAGACUGCAUCGCUUGAAUCAUGGAGAGGUCAGUGGAAUUCCGAGUGUAGAGGUGAAAUUCGUAGAUAUUAGGAAGAACACCAGUGGCGAAGGCGGCCCACUGGAUCGGUACUGACGCUGAGGUGCGAAAGCGUGGGGAGCAAACAGG
rnacentral:rRNA from 1 species